UGGACAUGCCACAGACUGGUGGCUGGGACGGGGGCGUAUUGGCUCACAGUUUGGAGACUGGACGUCCAACAUCAGGUGCCGGCAGGGCCAGGCCUCCCUCAAGGCUUUCUGGAGUGGCCGGCUGGCAGUCCCACGGACGUCUUUCCCUUUCUGUCUCCUUGGUUUCUCCUUCCACGUCACCUUUCCUUUGCUUACAGGGACUCCAGUCAUAUCGUAUGAGGCCCUCAGCUGACUUCGGAGACCCCAUUUGCAAGCGUGUCCACCCUCAGGACUGGGGCUUGGGACACGUGCAUGCCUGUGGGGGACGCAUCACUCUGCCACCGUCCCCGGGCUGGACUCGAGCAGAGCACCGGGGCUGGAAGAACAGAGGCCAGAACAAAUGUGUCAGGAGGCAGCGGGUGCCAGGAUGGAAAACACAAGCACCAGGAGGGCUGAAGGUGGCACCUGUCAGCCUGUCACUCCAGACUGGUGUAAGGAGGUGUGGCCCAUGGC